rnacentral:rRNA from 1 species
UUCGAGUGGCGGACGGGUGAGUAACGCGUGGGUAACCUGCCUUACACAGGGGGAUAACACCUGGAAGCAGGUGCUAAUACCGCAUAAGCGCACAGGGCCGCAUGGCCCGGUGUGAAAAACUCCGGUGGUGUAAGAUGGACCCGCGUCUGAUUAGCUUGUUGGCGGGGUAGGGGCCCACCAAGGCGACGAUCAGUAGCCGGCCUGAGAGGGUGGACGGCCACAUUGGGACUGAGACACGGCCCAAACUCCUACGGAAGGCAGCAG